GGAAGUAAAAGUCGUAAUAAGGUUUCCGUAGGUUAACCUGCGGAAGGAUCAUUAUUGUAUAACCGAGGCGCGAGGGCUGUCGCUGACCCGAAAGGUCGUGCACGCCCGAGUGCCCUCACACACAUCCAUCUCACCCCUAUGUGCACCACCGCGUGGGUCCCCCUUUGGCUUGUUCGGAGGGGGGCUUACGUUUUCACACAAACUUUGUAUGCAGUGUAGAAUGUAUUUUUUGUUUUUGCGAUCACGCAAUCAAUACAACUUUCAACAACGGAUCUCUUGGCUCUC
rnacentral:misc_RNA from 1 species